rnacentral:ncRNA from 1 species
AGCGGGAGAGACUGGAUCUUCCAGCGCCGAAGGAGCAACCGCCCCGGAAACUCUCAGGCAAAAGGACCGCCA